CUCAAAUCACUGGGAAAAUGUUUCUUUAAAAUUAAAAAUUAUUUAAAAUAAAACAGGUAGGGUAUGUUGCAUACUAUUUAGAGACCCAGAUCUGUAAGACUGAGAACAGACCGUACACAGGAAGCGAUACUUGGAGGCAGGGUCAGACAUCUUGAAUUCCCAGCCAUCUCCUGUCCAGCUAAUGAAAGAACGGCAGGCAGAGUCCAAGAGGAGUUCAAGCAGAAACUGCCACAGUUGCAUUGGCCCUGAGCCUGGAGAGGCUGUACUUCGAUGCUUCACCACUUGAGGGCAGUGUUGAUCAGAGGACUGAGAGUCAGGAGACAAGGUACAAGAUGGAGGUAGGCCUUCUGGAGGUGGGCAGUAGCUAGG